CUGCGGCAGCGACACUAUGUGUUGUUGGGUAGGGGAGCGUUCUGUAAGCCUGUGAAGGUGGCCUGUGAGGGUUGCUGGAGGUAUCAGAAGUGCGAAUGCUGACAUAAGUAACGAUAAAGCGGGUGAAAAGCCCGCUCGCCGGAAGACCAAGGGUUCCUGUCCAACGUUAAUCGGGGCAGGGUGAGUCGACCCCUAAGGCGAGGCCGAAAGGCGUAGUCGAUGGGAAACGGGUUAAUAUUCCCGUACUUGGUGUUACUGCGAAGGGGGGACGGAGAAGGCUAUGUUGGCCGGGCGACGGUUGUCCCGGUUUAAGCGUGUAGGUGUGUGUUCCAGGUAAAUCCGGUUCACUUUAACACUGAGGCGUGAUGACGAGGCACUACGGUGCUGAAGCAACAAAUGCCCUGCUUCCAGGAAAAGCCUCUAAGCAUCAGGUAACAUCAAAUCGUACCCCAAACCGACACAGGUGGUCAGGUAGAGAAUACCAAGGCGCUUGAGAGAACUCGGGUGAAGGAACUAGGCAAAAUGGUGCCGUAACUUCGGGAGAAGGCACGCUGACACGUAGGUGAAGUGAUUUACUCAUGGAGCUGAAGUCAGUCGAAGAUACCAGCUGGCUGCAACUGUUUAUUAAAAACACAGCACUGUGCAAACACGAAAGUGGACGUAUACGGUGUGACGCCUGCCCGGUGCCGGAAGGUUAAUUGAUGGGGUCAGCGCAAGCGAAGCUCCUGAUCGAAGCCCCGGUAAACGGCGGCCGUAACUAUAACGGUCCUAAGGUAGCGAAAUUCCUUGUCGGGUAAGUUCCGACCUGCACGAAUGGCGUAAUGAUGGCCAGGCUGUCUCCACCCGAGACUCAGUGAAAUUGAACUCGCUGUGAAGAUGCAGUGUACCCGCGGCAAGACGGAAAGACCCCGUGAACCUUUACUAUAGCUUGACACUGAACAUUGAGCCUUGAUGUGUAGGAUAGGUGGGAGGCUUUGAAGUGUGGACGCCAGUCUGCAUGGAGCCGACCUUGAAAUACCACCCUUUAAUGUUU
rnacentral:rRNA from 1 species